GCUGACACAUCCCUGCCAAUCUCUGGCAGACCCUCCCUCCCAGACCCUCCUACUUCCUGGACAGCAUCCAUGUUGAAGGCAGCUUCAACAUGGAUGCUGUCCAGGAGAUGGGAGGGUCUGGGAGGGAGGGUCUGCCGGAGAUUGGCAGGGAUGUGUCAG